GCCAUAGCUCAGUGGGUAGAGCACCUGUUUUUCAAGGACAGGGUCCCAGGUUCAAUUUCUGGCACCCCCAGGCA